GCGAAUCUAUUACGAGGCUGGAGUGGGCUCCAGCCUAGGAGAAGAUUUUUAAAUAUUAAAUAUAGUUAAGUUUAUUCCUACUCCAAUAAAUAUUAGCCCACUGCCACUAGCGGACCUGUUAAGGAGCAAGGAGGUACUGCACCUCCUCACACCAGAAAAACCAUUGUAGGUACUUGAAAUUGCCCCUUUACUCAGCUGCUGGUGGUGUACAAAUUACCUUAUUUCCAUCUUCAACAUUUUUAUAUUACUCCAUUUACUUAAGUUUACAAUGUAAAU
rnacentral:lncRNA from 1 species